rnacentral:rRNA from 1 species
GGAUGAAGGNUUUUCGGAUUGUAUACUUCUUUAGUCAGGGACGAAUAAUUGACGGUAUCCUGAAGAAUAAGCCACGGCUAACUACGUGCCAGCAGCCGCGGUAAUACGUAGGUGGCGAGCGUUGUCCGGAAUUACUGGGUGUAAAGGGCGUGUAGGCGGGAAUGUAAGUCAGAUGUGAAAUCCCAGGGCUUAACCCUGGAGCUGCAUCUGAAACUAUGUUUCUUGAGUGCCGGAGAGGAAAGCGGAAUUCCUAGUGUAGCGGUGAAAUGCGUAGAUAUUAGGAGGAACACCAGUGGCGAAGGCGGCUUUCUGGACGGUAACUGACGCUGAGGCGCGAAAGCGUGGGGAGCAAACAGGAUUAGAUCCUGGUAG